AAUGAACGUUGGCGGCAUGGAUUAGGCAUGCAAGUCGAGCGAGAAGUGUAGAAAUACACGGAAAGCGGCGGAAGGGAGAGUAAUACGUGGGAAUCUGCCCUUAGACCUGGGAUAGCAGCGGGAAACUGCUGGUAAUACCAGAUAAUGUCUAUGGACCAAAGGUGUGAUUCCGUCUAGGGAUGAGCCCACGUCCUAUUAGCUAGUUGGUAGGGUAAUGGCCUACCAAGGCGAUGAUGGGUAGCGGGUGUGAGAGCAUGACCCGCCUCACUGGGACUGAGACACUGCCCAGACACCUACGGGUGGCUGCAGUCGAGAAUCUUCGGCAAUGGGCGCAAGCCUGACCGAGCGAUGCCGCGUGCGGGAUGAAGGCCUUCGGGUUGUAAACCGCUGUCGAGGGGGAGCAACUUCCAUAGAGUUAUCUUUAUGGAUUGAGUGAUCCCUGGAGGAAGGACGGGCUAAGUUCGUGCCAGCCGCCGCAGUAACAC
rnacentral:rRNA from 1 species